UGGCUCAGUUGGUAGAGCAUGGCGUUUCCAAUGUCAGGUUUGUGGGUUCAAUUCCCAC
rnacentral:tRNA from 1 species